GUCUACGGCCAUACCACCCUGAACGCGCCCGAUCUCGUCUGAUCUCGGAAGCUAAGCAGGGUCGGGCCUGGUUAGUACUUGGAUGGGAGAAUAUCUAUGAUGGCAUCCCCACUCGGGAGACUGAUGCCAGAAGCA
rnacentral:rRNA from 1 species